rnacentral:lncRNA from 1 species
UAAAACUAAAACCUGUUUUAAGGUGAUGAUACUUCACAACAAUAUGACAAAUGGUUUGAUUUUACAUAGUAGAAAAGGUAGGUGUGAUUUUCAAGUCAUAUGGUAUAGAGAGAAGAUUUCAUCAAGUAGGGAACCUCUAAAACCCAUGAGGAUGUGAUCCAUCAGAUGAGACCUUGACGCUGGAGAUCAGAGUAAGUCUUCUUGUUGUAAAUGUUACCUUCACGAUCUUC